rnacentral:rRNA from 1 species
GAUGAACGCUGGCGGCGUGCCUAAUACAUGCAAGUCGAGCGAACAGACGAGGAGCUUGCUCCUUCGACGUUAGCGGCGGACGGGUGAGUAACACGUAGGUAACCUACCUAUAAGACUGGGAUAACUUCGGGAAACCGGAGCUAAUACCGGAUAAUAUUUCGAACCGCAUGGUUCGAUAGUGAAAGAUGGCUUUGCUAUCACUUAUAGAUGGACCUGCGCCGUAUUAGCUAGUUGGUAAGGUAACGGCUUACCAAGGCAACGAUACGUAGCCGACCUGAGAGGGUGAUCGGCCACACUGGAACUGAGACACGGUCCAGACUCCUACGGGAGGCAGCAGUAGGGAAUCUUCCGCAAUGGGCGAAAGCCUGACGGAGCAACGCCGCGUGAGUGAUGAAGGUCUUCGGAUCGUAAAACUCUGUUAUUAGGGAAGAACAAACGUGUAAGUAACUGUGCACGUCUUGACGGUACCUAAUCAGAAAGCCACGGCUAACUACG